GGUUCGCAGGUCUGCACUGGGUAUCGCUUAUCAUUCCGUGAGUGUCUGGUCAUUUUUUAAAUUUCUUUUUUCAGUUCGUGGGGCGGCGGUUGUUUGUUCUAGGUAAGGAGGUGAUUGGUGGGGUUGGAAAAGGCCGGGCGGAGACGGCGGAGCGAAGGCGGUGUUUCCUCGCCUGUGAGGCAGAAAUUGCGCGCGGCGAGUUCCCCGCAAGGAGAGCUUGUAGGCAGGAGGCGUGCUCCACAGGGAGAGAUGUCGGCCUGGAGAGGAGCACGGCGGAGCUGCCCCGUCGUGCUUGCCACCAGCAAGCUCCAGUCGGUGGAGGCAGUUGCAGUCGCUGGCGCUAGUGGGGCGCAAGAUGGUCAUAUCGCAUUCAGCAAGGAUGGCUGGGAGGAAUUCACGGAGGAGAACGACCUAAAAUAGGUUGGCCGAGUGGUGCUAAUCACCGUCAGGAAUAGUGCAUUGGACAAUCUAGACAUGAUGGUUGUCGUCAACCUGAUUUGAGAUUACCAUCAGUGUUAAUGCUCUAGUUUUUCUCGUUGUUAUCUAUGUCUUACUGCUAUCAGCUGUCUUUGUCGCUCCGCGGGAUGGACGAACUAUGUGUCUUCUCUCUUUUAUAGAUAUCCUUUUUUUUGGUUAUGUAUGGCACUGUCAAGAACUAUUUAAUAUGGGGCCUGAAAACCUUUUAACUGCUAGUCUAUUUGGUUAGUGUUCAGCUUUAACAUGGAGGCUUUGUGUUUAGUUUUUAUCAGUAUUUUGGAUUUCUUUGGACCGACCAUUUUUUCAAUGGUGGGAGUAACUUUUCAAUUAUUUGAAAUUCAGUAUUCAGUAUACUGUCAAAUUCAGUUAUGUCAGUAAGAUCGAACUCCUCAGAUCAUUGUGUUUGAUGGAAGUUUUUUUUGUCCGGUUUUCAGUGUUUUGCAUUUUUUUCAUUAUUGUCCGGAGUUGUUUGGUGUGGGUCUUCAGUAAGAAGUUUUAAAGAAGUAACCACAUUUCUGCCACUAGCAUUCGUCAUAUUUCUAUUUUUUCUGAAAAGAAAUGGGAUUAUCUCCAGUCACUAGUACUCCCUCCGUUCCAUAAUGUAGUGCAUAUAGAUUUUUUGAAAAGUCAAACUUUGAACAAGUUUAUGAAGAAAACUAUUUAUAUCUACAAUACCAAAUAUAUGAAUUAUGAAACUACGUCUUAUGAUGAUUCUAAUGAUAUAUGUUUGGCAUUCUAGAUGUAAAUAUUUUUCUCCACAAACUUGAUCAAAGUUUGUGAUAUUUGACUUUUCCAUUAGUAUUGUUUUACUUCUUUGGUUAUAUCCUUAUUUAGCCAUUCUUUUGACUUUGGUUUUAUUCGUCUGUCAGUCUAGUGUCUGAAGCCGUAGGUGUCAAAUUCAAUUAACAGUUUUGUGUUCAGUGUUAGGUGCCGUUUUCAGUUUCGUCAGUUUUCAGUUCUGUCAGCUAACGGCAUUCUCCGUUACGUCUGCUUCGGUUAUCCCCUUUCUUUCAGCGGAAAGGAAUGCAUAGAGUGGUGCAAAAUGAGGCGGCCAUUCUGUAGGAGCAGCGACGUGGGAACUCGGAUGUUGGCGGCGGCGGCGCAACUCCACAUAUUUGGAACAAUGCUAGCUCCAUCCCCACCAUCAUGUAGCCGAGUCAAUGAGACGAAAUCAUCUGUCUGAAGGUUGUGAAGCAUCGAAGUAGUUCUUCCACCGUUGCCCAGAUGAGUAUCAUUAGUUGAAGUUCUACUUGCAU